rnacentral:rRNA from 1 species
GACGAACGCUGGCGGCGUGCUUAACACAUGCAAGUCGAACGGAAAGGCCCUGCUUUUGUGGGGUGCUCGAGUGGCGAACGGGUGAGUAACACGUGAGUAACCUUCCCUGUACUUUGUGAUAACUUCAGGAGACUGGUGCUAAUACCUGAUAGGAGCUCCUGCUGCAUGGGGGGGGUUGGAAAGUUUCGGCGGUUGGGGAUGGACUGGCGGCUUACCAGCUUGUUGGUGGGGUAGUGGCUUACCAAGGCUUUGACGGAUAGUCGGCCUGGGAGGUGGAACGGGCACAUGGGGCCUGAGAGACGGCCCAGAGUCCUACGGGGGGCAGCAGUGGGGAAUAUUGUACAAUGGGCGGAAGCCUGAUGCAGCAGCGCCGCGUGCGGGAUGACGGCCUUCGGGUGGUAAACCGCUUUCGCCUGUGACGAAGCGUGAGUGACGGUAAUGAGUAAAGAAGCACCGGCUAACUACGUG